AUCGGCCAUAACAACUUGAGAAACAGCUUCAGACAUUUUUCAGUACGAGCGAGAAAUGCAAUGCUAGGGUUUAACCGAACAAGCCCAAAGGCCUUGUUUGGUUAGGAUACAAUUCACAUGGAUCGUUAGGGAUCACAGCCAGAUCCACGUGGUGUUCUGUAAGGUUCUCAUCUAUAUCUUCAUGGAACUUCGAAUCAAGUUCUUACAAUUGGAUCUCAGAGAGGGAAAUUGAAGGGGAGAGGAAGAAGAACACGCUUUCUAGCUGGCCAUCGUGCCAUUUGCCUUUUGCCAAGUCUAGAAGCAGAGAGGGGAAAGGUACUUAAGGGGUUACAAGGCCUAAGGCCCAUUCAGGGCCCGCAAGCCGAGCGGGCAGACGAGGCUUGCGUAUGGGCCUGACUCUUGACUGUGCUUCCUCUUGCCGCUCUAUUGUACCCGUGCCGCUGACAAUCUUCCCCUGUUGAGAUGCGGCUUGCCCCCAAGCCGGCGCCCUGGGAAACAUUUGCUUCAGAGUUUCCAGAUCCUCCCACGUAGCCAGUUUAGUUGAACCAUUAGACCAUUGGACCAGUACUUGCAAUACUCGUUUAGCGCCACGCAUCACCACACGUCGCUGAAGAAUUAACGCAGGGAUCUGCAGAUGAGCCUCUGGUGGCGGCAGCGACCGCAGGAUUUGCUGAUCGGGCUUGAGAACCUUACGCAGCAGGGAUACAUGGAACACAGGGUGGACUUUACUAGAUGCAGGCAAAUCCAGGCGGUAGACAACUUCCCCCACACGUUCCAGUAUCUUGUAUGGACCAAAAAAUUUAUAGGCAAGCUUAUGGUUGGCCCUCGGAGCAAAUGAAGCUUGGAUGUAUGGCUGUAACUUUAGGAAGACUGAUUCACCCACCUCAAACGUUCUUUCUGUCCUGUGUUUGUCUGCCUGUGCUUUCAUCCGUUGUUGGGAUCUUAAAAGUUGCUGUUUAACUGUGCUGAAAAUCACUUGCCUCUGUUCCAACCACUGAGACAGAUCAUCGAAAGAUAUUGUACAAUCAGGUCCAAUACCAAAGUGCCUUGGAAGGUGCCCAUAUAUAACCUCAAACGGGGUUCUGUCAGUGGCUGAGUGCCAAUUGGUAUUGUACCAAUAAUCACACAGGGAUAGCCACUUAGCCCAUUUAGUGGGGUGUGUACUGACAAAACAUCUGAGAUAACACUCGGUCUGCUGAUUAACACGUUCAGUUUGCCCGUCAGAUUGAGGAUGCCUCGCAGAGCUCAUGCGCAAUUGGAUGCCCUGAGUAUGUUGAAACAACUCUUUCCAAAACACACUUGUGAAAAUGCGGUCACGGUCUGAUACAAUAGAGAGAGGCAUACCAUGUAACUUGUAGACUGUAUUAAAAAAGGCUUCAGCCACUGUCAUUGUUGUAAAGGGAUGAUGAAGUGGGAUAAAGUGGCCAUACUUAGAUAACUUAUCAAUCACCACCAGUAUGCAGUUGUAACUACCAGACGUCGGAAGCCCUUCAAUGAAAUCCAUAGUUACCAUCUCCCAUGGCAGACUAGGUAUUGGCAGUGGCUGGAGAAGUGCAGGGUAGGGGACUCGUUCAGGUUUCGCCUGUUGGCAGACCAGACAGUGUUGCACAGCCUGUUUGAUAAAGGAUUUCAUACCAGACCAACGAAACAGUUGUCUAAUUCUUCUGUAGGUGACAGGAAAGCCUGAGUGCCCCCCCAAAGGUGAAUCAUGAAAUGCCAAUACCAGUUUAUUUUGUAGUUGACUGUCAGCGCCCACCCAAAUGCAAUUAUCAGUGCAUAGAAGCCCAUUUUUGAGAGAGAACUUGUUCUCUGCUGCUGGGUCAGCUGCCAAACGCUGUAAUUUUUGUUGGCAGAAAGGGUCCUGACUAUAACUUGCCAAGAUUUCAGAAAGCCACAAGGGUUGUAGUGUUGACACUGCUUGCAUUUCUGCAUCUGCAUGAGGUCUACGAGACAAGGAAUCAGCAGCAUUAUUGUCUGAUCCCUUCUUAUAGACAAUUUUGUACUGAAGCCCCAUGAGUUUAGUUAAUGCCUUCUGUUGCCAAGGUGUGUGUAAACGUUGCUCAAACAGACUAGCCAGGCUUCUAUGAUCAGUUUGAAUCACAAACUCACUCAACUAUAGGUAUUGACACCAAUGUUCAAUAGUCAGCAGAAUAGCUAAGUAUUCCUUUUCGUAUACUGACAGAGCACGGUUCCUAGGACCAAGAGCCUUACUGACAUACGCUAGAGGAUGCCCAUCCUAUGACAGAACUGCUCCAAUGCCCACAUCGCACGCAUCUGUCUCAAUGACAAAGGUUUUUGUAAAAUUGGACAGAGCUAGUACUGGUGCUGUCAUUAAGGCACGUUUUAGUUCUUGAAAGGCUUCCUCUUCACAAGAUGACCAGCGGAAGAUCACCCCCUUCUUCAGCAGUGCUGUGAGAGAACGGCAGAUGAUUCCAAAGUUGCGGAUGAAUUUUUGGUAGUAGCUGGCCAAUCCCAGAAAACCAGGGACCUCCUUGACAUUGGUUGGUGUAGGUCAUGUCUCUAUAGUAGAAAUCUUACUUGGGUCUGUGGAAACUCCCGCACCGCUGAUAAUGUGGCCAAGAUACCCUACUUCUCGUUGAGCAAAUGCACAUUUGGACAUUUUCACCUUCCACUGGUGUUCAGACAAGAGAGAUAGCACCUUCUUGAGAUGGACCAAGUGUUCCUCGAAUGUGAAACUGAAAACCAGUAUGUCAUCGAAGAAAACAACCACAUAGUGUCUGUUGCCUGGACCCAACGUACUGUUCAUGGCAAACUAAAAUGUAUUGGGUCCUCCUGUCAGACCAAAAGAUACCACUGUAAACUCAUAAUGGCCUAGAUGUGUCUGGAAGGCAGUUUUGUAUUCAUCUCCUGGGGCUAAUCGAAUCUGAUGAUAACCCAAACGCAGGUCUAACUUAGUGAACCAGCUAGCUCCUGAUAUCUCAUCUAGGAGCUCAUUAAUUACUGGAAUGGGAAAUUUCCCUUUUUGAGUCAUGGCAUUUAAGUGACGAUAAUCAAUCACAGGGCGCCAAGUAUUAUCCUUCUUCUUAACCAUAAGCAGGGGAGAUGAAAAUGGGCUGUUACUUGGUCUAAUAAUUCCACUGGCCAGCAUCUCUUGUAUGUGUUUCUCUAAUUCAAUUUUCAGAGCAGGAGCUAAUCUGUAAGGUCGAAGAGACACAGGAAUGGCUCCUGGUAUAAGAGGAAUCUUGUGAUCAUAUGGUCUUCUAGGAGGUAAACCUGUGGGUGCUGCAAACACAUGUUUGAAUUGAUCCAAAAUUUCUUGGACUUCAGGUGGAAUGGGAGCAUCCGUGGUAGUAAGAAGAGAUGACAAUUCCACUAAUGCCAGUUCAGGAACAAUAGCAGCAGCUCCCAGUAGGGUGACAAUGGUGUCUUGAUGUUGGAAAGAGAACCAAUGAUUUUCCCAAUCAACAAGCAUUGGACUGUGUGCAAACAACCAAUCAAGUCCUAUAAUUCCAUCAUAACUGCCCAGAGGAAAGAACUUGAAAUCACUGCUAAAAUUGUGACCUGAACAGCCCCAAAUGCAGCCCACAAUUUGGUUGGAACAGUUAACUGUGUCUCCAUUGGCAAUUCUGACCGACACAUGCUUCAUUGGUAUUACUCCGUGUAGGUUUUGUAAGAGAGACAAGUCCAAAAAGGAGUGAGUGUUGCCUGAAUCCACUAAGAAGGUACAAGCAUGCCCUUGUAACUGAACCCUUAGUUGCAUUGUUCUGGGAGAUUUGUCUGUUUUACUUCCCAGAGUUGUAGCAGAAAUAGAUAUCAUGUGGACAGAUGCUGAGUUAACAGUGUCAUCAGGUUCAGACAACUCUGUGUUAUGCAAGAACUCUACCAUUUCUUAUACCACAUGAAGUUGCACCUCCUGUUUGCAUAUGUGAUCCUUGCUCCAACGUUCCCCACAAACAAAGCACAACCCCUUGGCCCUUCGAUAAUUCCUGAGAGCUCCCCAUUUAUCCUCAGUAGCUGGCCUUUUUUGACUGUCCACAGAACGAUGAUCUUCAAUAGAUUUACUUGUUGCAGGAGUUUGGAACGAACUAGUUGGUGGAGGGGGCAAAGGUAAGGCUGAUGCUCUUCUCGUAUUGGAUGGACCUGUUACAUGAACUUGUGAUCCCAGUUCUUCAUGAAGAAUGGCCAAUUGAUAAGAUGUGUCUAGAUCGGCCGGUUGUUGUAUGCCCACUGCCAGCUUGAUAGAUGGUUUCAGUCCUUCCAGGAAACGAGUAACAUAGUGAAUUGUAUUUGGUGAAGUUUCAUAGGCAGCAAGCUGGUCAAACAAAUCAGAGAACCGCUCUACAUAAUCCUCAGCAGUUCCUGUCUGACUGAUGUUGAAAAACUUCCUCGGGAUGGACCGAUGCUGGUUACGGUCGAACCUGGACUGCAGUAAGCGGCAGAAUUCAUCCCAUGUCGCUUGAGGGACUCGACGGUGAACUGAAUCAAGCCAUCGAGCGGCUGUACCCUCGAACAGAGCCGUAGGAGAUAUCCACUGCUGCGGUGGAGUGCUCUAGAAACGGAAGUAAUCUUCGCACCUGGUCUGCCAGAGUUUUAGGUUGGUUCCAUCAAAUCACGGCAUCUCGAUUCGUGGUCCAAACCCGAACACAUCAGAAGAGUUGUGGUGAAAAUUUUCCACCGAAUUGAAGGGAACUCUCUAUAAUGACUGAUCGGUUUGCGUACCUUUGGCUGGUGGUGGAACGUAGAGUCGAUUUCCAGGACCUCUGUUCUCACUGUCGGCAUGGAAACCUUCCGAUUCGGACGGACCACCACUGGCGGAGCGGAUGGGUAUGGGAGGCACUCCUCUCGAUGUUUCCGCAGCGGCAGGCGGUGUACGAUCCAGCUCGUGUCACAGCUCAUCGAUAUCGACACCAAUGGAAAACUUGACCUCAUCGAUACAGGAAGAGAGCAGAUCCAGCUUGGCAUCGAGCUUGGAGAUGGUCGCCGCCGUGGAAUCGAUGCGGCCGCGGUCGGAUUUGUCGAAAUCAGCUCGCAACAAGUCAUAGAUGGCCUUGGUCUCCGUCGAGAUGCGGUCCAUCACUGUCGCUCGCUACCUGUCGGUGAACCGGGUGUGGCGCUGGUGAGACGGAAGGGCCGACAGAUCGAAUGGCUCUGAUGCCAGAUGGUAAGGUUCUCAUCUAUAUCUCCAUGGAAAUUCGAAUCAAGUUCUUACAAUUGGAUCUCGGAGAGGGGAAUUGAAGGGGAGAGGAAGAAGAACACGCUUUCUAGCUGGCCAUCGUGCCAUUUGCCUUUUGCCAAGUCUAGAAGCAGAGAGGGGAAAGGUACUUAAGGGGUUACAAGGCCUAAGGCCCAUUCAGGGCCCGCAAGCCGAGCGGGCAGACGAGGCUUGCGUAUGGGCCUGACUCUUGACUGUG
rnacentral:lncRNA from 1 species